AACGCGAAGAACCUUACCCAGACUUGACAUGCAGAAGAAAACUCUAGAGAUAGAGCGUCCCUUCGGGGCUUUUGCACAGGUGCUGCAUGGCUGUCGUCAGCUCGUGCCGUGAGGUGUUGGGUUAAGUCCCGCAACGAGCGCAACCCUUAUCAUUAGUUGCCAACAUUUAAGGUGGGAACUCUAAUGAGACUGCCUGGGUUAACCAGGAGGAAGGUGAGGAUGACGUCAAGUCCGCAUGGCCCUUAUGUCUGGGGCUACACACGUGCUACAAUGGUCGGUACAAAAGGCAGCGAACCCGCAAGGCGAAGCUAAUCCCGAAAACCGAUCCCAGUUCAGAUUGUAGUCUGCAACUCGACUACAUGAAGUUGGAAUUGCUAGUAAUGGCGGAUCAGCUACACCGCCGUGAAUACGUUCCCGGGCUUGUACACACCGACGCAC
rnacentral:rRNA from 1 species